AGAGGAAUAGCUGGGUCAAAUGGUGGUUCCAUUCCCAGAUUUCCAAGGAAUCUCCAUACUGCUUUCCAUAUUGGCUGCACCAAUUUGCAGUCCCACCAACAAU
rnacentral:pre_miRNA from 1 species